CAUACAUGUACCACUUUAAAAACUAAGCCUCAGUUUCCUCAUCUGUACAAUGGGGAUUAUUAUCUCCACUCUCUCCAUCUCAUUUGAUCCUCACAGUUGUGUGAGGUAAAAUAAGUGAAGCUGCUUUGUGGGGGUACUUUCCUUUGUGAUAACGCCCAUCAUUAGUAGCCUCUAAUCAUGGUGUAGGGACAGAACACAGGCUCUGUAUUCCGGAAGUCCUGGAUUCAAAUCCUAGCUCUUGGGGGAAAUUAGCUAAUUCCAGAAUGUCUUUGAUCCUUGGUUUCCUCCUCUGUAAAUGGAAUCCUGUCUGGAAGAGCCCCUGAAAAAUGUCUGUACCUUUUCAUUCACCACUUUGUGCCACUUUAGGUGUUGGUGCUUUUCCCAGUAAUUGAGAGAAUGGAUGAGACGUACGAGUGAGUUUUCCCUAUGGGACAGCAUAGCAGUUUCUUGUCCUACAGUUUCCAAUUCACGAAUGGCUUUACUUUAACAAAAUGACAGAUAAUGAGAGGGAAAGUAGUGUUUGAAUGCUUAGACGCCUGUUCUCUCCGAUGUCGCAAUGUUGUCAAGAACUAUCUUUAUUCCCUGAUUGUCCUGGAGAAGAGAAACAUAAAAGCCUUAUUCAUGGUUUUAAUUCUCAUUCCAGAGAGGAACAGUGGGUUCUUUCUCCAGUCAUUCUGUCCUUACUGGGGAGGAGCCCAGGGACAUAUUUCAUAGCUAAGUCAACUGCUUUUCUUCAAAUUCAGAUUUAAUCCUUGAGCAAAAUGAGUCACUGGCUCAUCCAGUUAAGAUCAUCACCCACUUUCCUAACAAAACUUCUCUUCAAAGGAGGACUCGCUCACCCAUCAGGUGGACCUCCACAGGAACAAAUCAGAUCCAUGUCAGGUGGCACCAAACCUAAAUCUGCUUCUGCCUCAGCAGACAGGACACGUAGCUGUGGCUGCUGUGACUUCUGUGGCACUUGGGAUGGAAAAACGUGGGAUGCAAACCUAUUCUAGCAAUGCCUAGAGAUGCAGGGGAUAGAAAUUUCUGUCGACCGGGCGUGGUGACUCAAGCCUGUAAUCCCGGCACUUUGGGAGGACGAGAUGGGCGGAUCACGAGGUCAGGAAAUGGAGACCAUCCUGGCUAACACCGUGAAACCCUGUCUCUACUAAAAAAAAAAAAUACAAAAAACUAACCGGGCCAGGUGGCGGGCGCCUGUAGUCCCAGCUACUCGGGAGGCUGAGGCAGGAGAAUGGCGUAAACCCGGGAGGCUGGAGUGCAGUGGCCCGAUCUCAGCUCACUGCAAGCUCAGCCUGGGCGACAGAGCAAGACUCCAUCUCAAAAAAAAAAAAAAAAGAAAUUUCUUCUGUCUUAAUGUACUAGAUAAAAUUUAUAUUUGUUGAAACAAUUAGCUACUCCUUGACCAACAAGGCAAGAGCUCCACUAUAUGGCAUCACUCAUGUAGAUUGUGAACAAGAAAGCAUGGUUUGAUCUGACCACCUCAAAACAUUAUUUUUGUUUCCUAUUUGAAACUCAGAAUUUGCAAAUAGAGUCUUUGCAGAUGUAGUUGUUUAGGUUAGGAUGAGGUCAUACUAGAUUAGGAUGGGCCCUAACUAUGGUGUCCUUACAGGAAAACUAGGUGAAGAAAGACACAGAAGAGAAGGCCAUGUGAAGAGGGAGGCAGAGAUUGGAGGUAUACUGUCACAAGCCAAGGUGCACCUGGGGCCAUCGGGAGCCAGGAGAGGCAAGGAAGAAUUUUCCCCUAGAGGCUUGGGAGGGAGUAAAGCCCUGACAGUACCCUAAUUUAGCACAUCUAGCCUCUGGAACUGUGAGAGAAUAUAUUUCUGUUGCUUUAAGCCACAUAAGUUUGUGGUGAUUUGUUAUGGCAAACCUAGGAAGCUAGUAUACUUGGUAGCUGGUAUACUUUGGGUGAGACUGGAGCAGGUACUGCUAGUGGUCAGAAUUUUAAGAGAGGCAAGCAGAGAAACCCCUGUCUCCAUUGUCUCAUGACUUUGUUGCAACACAAACAUUCUUAGUGCUUUCAUUAUACACAAAUUGCCUGCACAGCAAGGGGAUGGAGAAAGCAGUUAGACACCGUCCUGGCCUCGUGGAGCUUAUGCUCAGGCAGAGAGAUGGCAGGAUAAAAAGACAGCUGCUUCGCAAGGGAGAAAAAGCAGAGCAGGGACCCAGCCUACGUUUCCCACAGGGAUUGCUGGAGUGGGGCGGGUAAGGGGGCAUGAGUGGUUUGAGACUGAGCUGGCAACAAACUGGAGAAAGGCCUGAGUGCAGGGGGUACGGGAGAGAGCGAGGGAGGAGAUGGACUUAAUCCAUUUUCCAAGAGGAUGAAACUGGGAGGAGAGUGGAAAGUGUUUCAAGGUGAUUUUUCCAAAGGAUUUCCAGAUGGGGUGCUAUUCAGUGACUGGUGGUGUACUUUUGACAAAACCAACAGUGAAACUCUCCAUUAUUACCUAAAGCUUUCAGAGUGAGACCAAUGUUCCUCUGAUGUGGCAUCUUAUAGAUACACGGUCAUGAGACCUGGCUUUAUGCAGGUGACUCAUGGACACAGAUAUUCAUAGUAGAAGGUGGGAUGUGAGCUGGGCAGGAGGCAGGCUGCAAACAAAGCAGCAGUUGAGGCCAGAAAAGGUGAAGGCACAUUCUGUUUCGGAGCUAGUAUUUGCUUCCCUAGGAUUCUCCACAACCUAACGUAGCUACAAUCAAAAGGCAAUUUAUUGCAAAGUAAGUGAUAUGGUUUGGCUGUGUCCCCACCCAUCUUGAAUUGUAGCUCCCAUAAUUCCCAUGUGUUGUGGGAGGAACCUGGUGGAAGAUAAUUGAAUCAUGGGGGCGGUUUCCCUCAUACUGUUCUUGUGGUAGUGAAUAUGUCUUACAAGAUCCGAUGGUUUUAUAAGGGGAAACUCCUUUUACUUGGCUCUCAUUUCCUCUUGCCUGCUGCCAUGUAAGAUGUGCCUUUCACCUUCCACCAAGAUUGUGAGGCUUCCCCAACCACGUGAAACUGUGACUGUAUUAAACCUCUUUUUCAUUAUAAAUUACCUGGUCUUGAAUAUAUCUUUAGCAGCAGUGUGAGAAUGGACUAAUACAGUAAGCAGUUUUCUUUCUAGGGUGAUUGUAACUAUUGAUGCUAACAUUGGUUUCCAACUUCACUUCCCUGGCAAAGCAGGAAACAGCUAGAGUCCACUGGCUUUAGAACAUGCUCUUAGAAUUUUUUCAGUCUCAUCAAAGCUUCAUGGAAAUACUAGCUAAGUUUCUCUUUCCAUUCAGGUGUAACCUCUGAAAGCCCCCUGCAAACUCUUCCUUAAUUAUCCUUUCAACCUUCAGAGUGCAUUUGCCAGGGGAUCUGAAUAGAUCCUUAGUUGCAAAUGUGGUGUGUUAUUUCUAAGACUUGUAUUUUAUAAAGUACAUCAUAAAAUUGUAUCUCAGGGCCCAGGUGGUUAAGGGAAUAUUUCCAAUGUUCUAUUUAUUCAGAAGCAAGGGGGGCUAAUCCUAAAAAAAAAAUUCCUUUACAUAUUGGCCAAGUCCCUGAUAUACAGUUGGACCACGUCAUAAAAGGCUGUUAAAUGGUUAUGGCCAGUGUCAGUGGAUUGAAUCAUCUCCCUAUGCAGAUGAUGAGUCUUUGAGAUUGGGGCUGUUCGCAAACCCAGAUAACUUUAGAAUGCAAACUUGGGCACCUGGGGAAUUGGCUGCAGCCACCUGCUUUUUUGGAAACUAAUGAGGAAAAGGCAUCUGUCAAUUGUGUUCCCUUGGUACGAGCCCCAACUGAUUCUAAAAACAACAUUUAGUUGAAAAUAGGCUCCCAAAUGAUGUCAGAGUUGGGAAGAAAUUGCAUCCCAAGUAUCACUUAUGGCCAACGGUCAAUUUUUAAUUUUUCCUUUGUGUCUCUCUUUUGUCUUUCCCAGGAAGCAUAUUCUCUUCUAGCCAUGGCUCAAAGUCUACAAAACUUGCAUCUUCUACCUUAGUGUGAACUCGCUGAACUCUAGUUGCUUUCACUGCAGGGAAGGGACUUUAGACCCAUCUCUGCUUCUUGAUGGUUUUGUGAACCUGGAUGAGUCACUUUCCUCUCUGUCUUGAUUUUUCCCAAAUGUAGAGUGAAGGUGGGAAAAUCACAGAUUCUCCACAUUCUGAUGGGGAGAAGGUUUUGCUUUCUUCCAGAGAACCAGUGAUUCUGAUCAUCUACAAUGUUUUACUUCUUACUCUAGGUGUUGCUGACGAUUUUAGCAGUGUAGCAUCAUUCCAAAUGUCUUUUAUCUACUAUAUCAGCCAAACUAGAUAUGAUGGGUGAUUUCAUGUGUCACCUUGGACUGGGUGAAAGGAUGCCCAGAUAUCUGGUGUAAACAUUAUUUGUGAGUGUAUCUGUGAAGGUGUUCCUGGAAGAGAUUAGCAUCUGAAUAGGUAGACUGAGUAAAGAAGAUCCACCCUCACCAGUGAAGGUAGGUGUCAUCUAAUCUGUAGCUGGGCAAAAUUGAACAAAAAGGCAGAAGAAGGGUGAAUUUUCUCUCUUUGCUUGGGUUGGUGCAUCCAUCUUCUCCUGCCCACAGAUAUCAGUAGUCCUGGUUCUUGUGCCUUUGGCUUCAGACUGGGAAUUAGAACAUCAGCUCUCCUGGUUUUCAGGACUUCGGACUUAGACUGAAUUACACCAUUAGCAUUCCCGGUUCUUCAGCUUUCAGACAGCAUAUCAUAGAACUUCUUGGCUUCCAUAAUUGUGUGAGGCAAUUUCAAUAAUAAAUCUCCUCUUAUGUGUCUAUAUACAUCCUAUUGGUUCUGUUUCUUCAGAGAAUGCUAACUAAUAUACUAGAUGAUUAAAUGGCCUCUGUGGAGUUACUGCACCAAAUAGCUCCAACAGAGUCAAUCACAUUAUAUUCCAUAUAUAAAUGGCACCCCAGAGUUGUGCAAUGUGGCAGGUAGGGAGGAUGUGGUGGGAAUCACUAUUU
rnacentral:lncRNA from 1 species